AUCAACAGCAAUGCAGAAAAAAGUGCCAAAAACAAACACUGCGGAGAAGACAAUCCCUUCAGUAAACAUUACCAGGAAAAUUAGAUGGCCGACAGAGAUGGAAGAAGCUACCACUUACGCCUGACCCCACCGAUGGAAGCUACUGUCACUACCAUGUCUCCAUGCCUUGCCAUGAAUCUCUAAGCCAGACUAAGUCCUUCCCUAAGUUGCUUCUAUCAGGUUUUAUGUUAUAGACAGAAGAAAAGUAACGAAUGCAAAGACUAACCACCCCGUAGUACCACCAACAUCUCCAUGAGAAACUGUCUGUGAGGGAUUUUAAAAGCUCUCUUCAACUUUUCUGUGCAUAGAACUGUGAGACCAAUUUGGAUCAGGUUACUUAUUGUUUUUAACAUAUUUU